AGUUUGAUUCUGGCUCAGGAUGAACGCUGGCGGCGUGCUUAACACAUGCAAGUCGAACGGGGAUGCAUUUGGAAGGUGUGCUUGCAUACCGGAAGGAUGUAUCCUAGUGGCGGACGGGUGAGUAACGCGUGGGUAACCUGCCUCAUACAGGGGGAUACCACCUGGAAACAGGUGCUAAUACCGCAUAAGCGCACGAGGACGCAUGUUUUUGUGUGAAAAACUUAGGUGGUAUGAGAUGGACCCGCGUCUGAUUAGCCAGUUGGCAGGGUAACGGCCUACCAAAGCGACGAUCAGUAGCCGGCCUGAGAGGGUGGACGGCCACAUUGGGACUGGAGACACGGCCCAAACUCCUACGGGAGGCAGCAGUGGGGAAUAUUGCACAAUGGGGGGAACCCUGAUGCAGCGACGCCGCGUGAGUGAAGAAGUAUUUCGGUAUGUAAAGCUCUAUCAGCAGGAACGAAGAAGACGGUACCUGACUAAGAAGCCCCGGCUAACUACGUGCCAGCAGCCGCGGUAAUACGUAGGGGGCAAGCGUAAUCCGGAAUCACUGGGUGUAAAGGGAGCGUAGACGGCAAGGCAAGCCUGGAGUGAAAGGCGGGGGCCCAACCCCUGGACUGCUCUGGGAACUGUCUGGCUGGAGUGCAGGAGAGGUAAGUGGAAUUCCUAGUGUAGCGGUGAAAUGCGUAGAUAUUAGGAGGAACACCAGUGGCGAAGGCGGCUUACUGGACUGUAACUGACGUUGAGGCUCGAAAGCGUGGGGAGCAAACAGGAUUAGAUACCCUGGUAGUCCACGCCGUAAACGAUGAUUACUAGGUGUUGGGGGGCAGAGGCCCUUCGGUGCCGCAGCAAACGCAUUAAGUAAUCCACCUGGGGAGUACGUCCGCAAGGAUGAAACUCAAAGGAAUUGACGGGGACCCGCACAAGCGGUGGAGCAUGUGGUUUAAUUCGAAGCAACGCGAAGAACCUUACCCGGCCUUGACAUCCCCCUGGCAGCAUAUGUAAUGUAUGUUCCCUUCGGGGCAGGGGAGACAGGUGGUGCAUGGUUGUCGUCAGCUCGUGUCGUGAGAUGUUGGGUUAAGUCCCGCAACGAGCGCAACCCUUACCCACAGUAGCCAGCACAUAAGGUGGGCACUCUGUGGGGACUGCCGGGGACAACCCGGAGGAAGGUGGGGAUGACGUCAAAUCAUCAUGCCCCUUAUGGCCGGGGCUACACACGUGCUACAAUGGCGUAAACAAAGGGAAGCGAGAAGGUGACUUUAAGCGAAACCCAAAAAUAACGUCCCAGUUCGGAUUGUAGUCUGCAACCCGACUACAUGAAGCUGGAAUCGCUAGUAAUCGCGGAUCAGAAUGCCGCGGUGAAUACGUUCCCGGGUCUUGUACACACCGCCCGUCACACCAUGGGAGCCGGGAAUGCCCGAAGUCGGUGACCUAACUGAGAAGAAGGAGCCGCCGAAGGCAGGUCUGGUAACUGGGGUGAAGUCGUAACAAGGUACCC
rnacentral:rRNA from 1 species